GGGGUGAGACUGGAAGUCAGGGACCACCAGGAGACCCAGGGCCUCAAGGGUCAGCGGGGCCCAUGGGGGUGCCCGGUUACCCUGGUAAGGAUGGGCCAUCAGGAGCUACUGGACUUCAAGGAGACAAAGGUGACAAGGGGUUUAAAGGAGUAGCUGGAUUGAGGG